rnacentral:rRNA from 1 species
ACGUAGGAGGCAAGCGUUGUCCGGAUUUACUGGGCGUAAAGAGCGUGUAGGCGGUUCGUUAAGUCCGCUGUGAAAUCUCCUGGCUCAACCAGGAUAAGUCGGUGGAAACUAGCGAACUUGAGGACGGUAGAGGGGGGUGGAAUUCCCGGUGUAGUGGUGAAAUGCGUAGAGAUCGGGAGGAACAUCCGUGGCGAAGGCGGCCACCUGGACCAGCACUGACACUGAGGCGCGAAAGCGUGGGGAGCAAACAGGA